rnacentral:lncRNA from 1 species
GUGUGAACCAGGGAGGCAGAGCUUGCAGUGAGCUGAGAUUGUGCCACUGCACUCCAGCCUGGACAGAAAUGCAUUUCAUAAUGCAUUUUAAUUGCAUUAGCAGUGAUUUAAUUUUUUUAGAUGCUAAACCUUAUGGGUGAAAGUGGAUUAAAUGUAGCCAAAUGCAACAUCAAAAUCUUCAGGCACAAAAACCCAUUAACUUUUUCAUACUCUCAGAAGAUGAACCUAAUUUCAAAUGAAAGCUGUCUCCAGAAUAUAUUGUUAAGCGUAUUCUAGAUAUAAUUCAUUUUGGCAAACAUACUGUAGAAAUUCACAUAACAUUUUACUGUACUAAAAGUAAAUUGCCCAUGUAACAAAAAAUAUCUUUUCAGAGCUUCAAAUGAAUUUUAAAGGAUGACUGACGGUCCUUGGAAGAGAAACAGUAAACAAAUAAGGUUUCAGGCACAGAACUGUAUAUCCAAUAAUAGUGAAAUGGAUCCCACUAAUUAUGACCGAAAUGAUGAUACAUUUAAAUGACUUGGAUGUUUUAUAGGUUGGCACUCAUGAUGAGCCCCUGUUCUCAUUCUGCAAAUGGUGAAGCUCUCUAUUGUCCUGACCCCACAGUUCCUGUCCCAUGACCAGGGCCAGCUCACCAAGGAGCUGCAGCAGCACGUAAAGUCAGUGACAUGCCCAUGCGAGUACCUGAGGAAGGUUAUCAAUACUCUGGCUGACCAUCAUCAUCGUGGGACUGACUUUGGUGGAAGUCCUUGGUUAGGUAUCAUUAUUGAAUUUCCGAGAAGUUAUAAAGUUGUCAUUACCCUCUGGACAGUUUACCUUUGGGUGAGUAUACUAACUUUCUGUAGAGGUAUACUUGUAAUCACAAAUAAGA